rnacentral:piRNA from 1 species
UGUCUUGCCACCCCUUAUGCCUAUAGAAA